CCUACGGGUGGCAGCAGUGAGGAAUAUUGGUCAAUGGGCGCGAGCCUGAACCAGCCAAGUAGCGUGAAGGAUGAAGGUCCUACGGGUUGUAAACCUCUUUUAUAAAGGAAUAAAGUGAGGCACGUGUGCCUUUUUGUAUGUACUUUAUGAAUAAGGAUCGGCUAACUCCGUGCCAGCAGCCGCGGUAAUACGGAGGAUCCGAGCGUUAUCCGGAUUUAUUGGGUUUAAAGGGAGCGUAGAUGGGUUGUUAAGUCAGUGGUGAAAGUUUGCGGCUCAACCGUAAAAUUGCAAUUGAUACUGGCAGUCUUGAGUACAGUUGAGGUAGGCGGAAUUCGUGGUGUAGCGGUGAAAUGCUUAGAUAUCACGAAGAACCCCGAUUGCGAAGGCAGCUUACUAAACCGUCACUGACACUGAUGCUCGAAAGUGUGGGGAUCAAACAGGAUUAGAUACCCGUGUAGUC
rnacentral:rRNA from 1 species